GGAGAGAUGGCCGAGAAGGCUGAAGGCGAUCGCCUGCUAAGCGAUUGAACGGUUGUUAAAACUGUUCCGUGGGUUCGAAUCCCACUCUCUCCG
rnacentral:tRNA from 1 species